GCACACUUUGAGACCCACCGCCCUAGCUCACUGUCAUCAUCUACACAAUUGAAGCUGCCACCUCCAGGCAACUUGGAAGGGAGAAAAGAGAAAGUCCGGAGCAAGAGAUUUCCUUGUAAGCAGGCACCGACUCAGAACUCUGCAGAAAGCCCCCACCAGUAAAAAGGCCCUCACCGGAUGUGGUCCCUCAACCUUGGGCAUUCCAGCCUCCAGAGCUAGUUUUGAGAAGUGAUCAAGGACAAAUGACUGGGAGCUGACCUGGGGCACCAGCCAGGUCCACCAAAGCUCUGUGAAGCGAAACUACACAAAAGACUUGGCUGAAGAAUUGAUUCUACUCUGGAGCAAAUCAAAAUCCUGCAGGGUCCUGAGAUAAGAGCGAAGAUGAGAACAGAAACCAGGCGAGGCCGUGGAAAGACCUUGUACCUGACUUGUAGACAAGGACCCCUGGUGGCUUGUGUCUCCUUCUCUCCUGCUUUUCACCUUCCACAUUCCAUUCC